GCCCCCGUGGGGCCGCCUCUAUCACUGGCAGAGCCCCGACAUUCACCAGGUCCGGAUUCCCUGGUCCGACUUUUUUGACCUUCCGAGUCUCAAUAGAAACAUCCCGGUCAUUGAGUAUGAACAGUUCAUUGCAGAGUCCGGCGGGCCCUUCAUCGACCAGGUUUAUGUCCUGCAAAGUUACGCGGAAGGGUGGAAAGAGGGGACCUGGGAAGAGAAGGUCGACGAGCGGCCGUGCAUCGACCCGCUGCUGUACGCCCCGGACAAGCACGAAUACUACAGGAUCGGCUUCCAUCAUGGCGCCUGUGCUUCUGAGAAACACGUCAGCGAGGUAAGCGCCCGUCGGGUCGGCUCCGUGACCGGCCAGUGAAGGAGCGUGUGUGUGUACACGUGUGUGCACGCUGUGCUGCGGGCGUUGGAACCCCUCCUGGCUGUGGCCUGCGGUGGGGGGCACUGGAGAGGUAGACCUCGUCCCCACCCCACAGCCGGUGCACAGCGAGGCGGGGCUGGGAGAGAGGAGGAGGCCGCCUGUUGCUGGGGAGAGCCAGUGGGGACCAGGGACAGACAGAGGAGGAGCCUGCCUGCCUGUGUCCCGGGAGAGCCCGGGGAGGGCAGCCGUGCCCAUGCUCGGGUAUCUGCGCGGCGAGUGUGGCUUCCCGGUGCUGCUCAGCCCUUCGCGGCGGGACCUCAUCGGCCUGGGCCUCUCGGCCGGCUGCUGGUAGGCGGAGGAGUCUCAGUCUCAGCUGGGCAGCCCUAGCUUCCUGGCCAAGGUGAGGGGGCGGCAGGUGCGUGGGAGUCC
rnacentral:lncRNA from 1 species